CGGUAGUAAAGUGCGACGGGGUGAGUAACACGUGGAUAAUCUGCCCUUCGGCGGGGACAACAGUCCGAAAGGAUUGCUAAUACCGCAUACGUCGGCGACCUCUUCGGAGGACGUCGGGAAAGAUGGCCUCUUCAUGAAAGCUAUCACCGAAGGAUGAGUCCGCGUCCCAUCAGCUAGUUGGCGGGGUAAUGGCCCACCAAGGCUAAGACGGGUAGCUGGUCUGAGAGGAUGAUCAGCCACACUGGAACUGAGACACGGUCCAGACUCCUACGGGAGGCAGCAGUGGGGGAAUAUUGGGCAAUGGGCGCAAGCCUGACCCAGCCAUGCCGCGUGAGUGAUGAAGGCCUUCGGGUCGUAAAGCUCUGUGGAGAGGGAAGAAACCGCUUAUGGCUAACAUCCAUGAGCAUUGACGGUACCUCUUUAGCAAGCACCGGCUAACUCCGUGCCAGCAGCCGCGGUAA
rnacentral:rRNA from 1 species